UACGUAGGGUGCGAGCGUUAAUCGGAAUUACUGGGCGUAAAGCGUGCGCAGGCGGUGGCUCAAGCCAGGCGUGAAAUCCCCGGGCUUAACCUGGGAAUGGCGUUUGGGACUGGGUCGCUAGAGUGUGGCAGAGGGAGGUGGAAGUUCCACGGUGUAGCAGUGAAAUGCGUAGAGAUGUGGAGGAACACCGAUGGCGAAGGCAGCCUCCUGGGCCAGCACUGACGCUCAUGCACGAAAGCGUGGGGAGCAAACGGG
rnacentral:rRNA from 1 species